AUGCCGAACACAAGGGGCUCGACACACCGAGUGAAAGACGAGGACGAACCCCAAAAGCAGAGCACCAGGAAACAAAAGAACUUCCCACAAGAAGUAAAAACAGUGAACUCACUUCACAUAACAAAGCAUGCGGUGCCCGUAAAGGUACGCACCACACGGCCCAUCCCCAAAAGGUCCUGCCACUGGUUGUCAAAACCGAUCAUCUUCGAUCAGCUAGAUUAUUCCAGAAAUAUCAAGAAUGUAGGAUGGACUGCCUUGAUACUUGAUCCAAUAAUUGGCGGGCUCCAGUUUUCAAAUGUCCUUAUGGAUGGUGGCAGUGGACUAAACCUGAUAUAUCAGGAUACAAUCCAUCACAUCGGGAUACACCCAGCAAGAAUCCGCCGCAGCAAAACCUCCUUUCAAGGGGUAACACCUGGUCCGGACACCCAUUGUAUGGGUUUUCUCCGGCUCGAAGUCAUAUUCGGCUCUGCCGAUAACUUCCGCCGCGAAAAGCUGACCUUCCAUAUCGUCCCGUUCUCAAGCCGCUAUCAAGCCCUACUGGGACGCGAAGCUUUCGCUCACUUUAACGCAAUACCGCAUUAUGCAUCUCUCACGCUUAAGAUGCCCGGUCCACGAGGCAUCAUCUCUUUGAAGGGGAAGCACUAA
rnacentral:rRNA from 1 species